AACGAACGCUGGCGGCGGGCUUAACACAUGCAAGUCGAACGGAAAGGCCCUACUUGCUUGCGCUGACCGGGUGCGGAACGGGUGCGUGACACGUGAAUAACCUAAUCUAGACUUUCGGAUAACUUCACGUAAGUGAGCCUAAUCUCGUAUCGCAGAUCCUGCUGCGUGGUAAGGAUUGGAACGUUUCGGCCGUUGGGGAUGGACGCGCGGCUUAUCGGCUAGUUGGUUGGCGAGUGGCUUACCAAGGCUGUGACGGGUCGCCGGCCCGAGAGGGUGACCGGGCACAUUGGGACUGAGAUACGGACCAGACUCCUACGGGAGGCAGCAGUGGGGAAUAUUGCACAACGGGCGGGAGCCUGAUGAAGCAACGCCGCGUGCGGGAUGACGGCCUUCUGGUUGUAAACAGCAGUAGCCUGUGACGAAGCGUGAGUGACGGUACUGGGUAAAGAAGCACCGGCUAACUACGUG
rnacentral:rRNA from 1 species